ACGGGUGAGUAAUACAUCGGAACGUGCCCUGAAGUGGGGGAUAACGUAGCGAAAGUUACGCUAAUACCGCAUAUUCUGUGAGCAGGAAAGCAGGGGAUCUUCGGACCUUGUGCUUUGGGAGCGGCCGAUGUCGGAUUAGCUAGUUGGUGGGGUAAAGGCCUACCAAGGCGACGAUCCGUAGCGGGUCUGAGAGGAUGAUCCGCCACACUGGAACUGAGACACGGUCCAGACUCCUACGGGAGGCAGCAGUGGAGAAUUUUGGACAAUGGGCGCAAGCCUGAUCCAGCCAUGCCGCGUGAGUGAAGAAGGCCUUCGGGUUGUAAAGCUCUUUCGGCGGGGAAGAAAUAGCGUGGGUUAAUACCCUGCGUUGAUGACGGUACCCGCAUAAGAAGCACCGGCUAACUACGUGCCAGCAGCCGCGGUAAUACGUAGGGUGCGAGCGUUGAUCGGAAUUACUGGGCGUAAAGCGUGCGCAGGCGGUUAUAUAAGUCAGAUGUGAAAUCCCCGGGCUCAACCUGGGAACUGCAUUUGAGACUGUAUGACUAGAGUGUGGCAGAGGGGGGUGGAAUUCCACGU
rnacentral:rRNA from 1 species